AGCGAACGCUGGCGGCAGGCCUAAUACAUGCAAGUCGAACGGCUCUUCGGAGCAGUGGCGGACGGGUGAGUAACGCGUGGGAAUGUGCCCUUAGGUACGGAACAACACAGGGAAACUUGUGCUAAUACCGUAUGUGCCCUUCGGGGGAAAGAUUUAUCGCCUUUGGAGCAGCCCGCGUUGGAUUAGCUAGUUGGUGAGGUAAAGGCUCACCAAGGCGACGAUCCAUAGCUGGUCUGAGAGGAUGACCAGCCACACUGGGACUGAGACACGGCCCAGACUCCUACGGGAGGCAGCAGUAGGGAAUCUUGCGCAAUGGGCGAAAGCCUGACGCAGCCAUGCCGCGUGUAUGAUGAAGGUCUUAGGAUUGUAAAAUACUUUCACCGGGGAAGAUAAUGACGGUACCCGGAGAAGAAGGCCCGGCUAACUUCGUGCCAGCCGCCGCGGUAAAAC
rnacentral:rRNA from 1 species